GGAGCAUGGCCUGGUGGUAGAGUGUGUGCUUUGCAGGCACAAGGCCCUGGGUUCAAUCCCUAGUGUCA
rnacentral:tRNA from 1 species